rnacentral:rRNA from 1 species
AUCAACGCUGGCGGCGUGCCUAACACAUGCAAGUCGAACGCGAAAGUGGAGCAAUCCAUGAGUAGAGUGGCGAACGGGUGAGUAACACGUGGGUGACCUACCCUCGAGUGGGGGAUAACAUCCCGAAAGGGGUGCUAAUACCGCAUGACAUCCUGUCUUUGAACCGAUGGACAUUAAAGCCGGGGAUCGCAAGACCUGGCGCUCGAGGAGGGGCUCGCGCCCGAUUAGCUAGUUGGUGAGGUAACGGCUCACCAAGGCGACGAUCGGUAUCCGGCCUGAGAGGGCGGACGGACACACUGGGACUGAGACACGGCCCAGACUCCUACGGGAGGCAGCAGUGGGGAAUUGUUCGCAAUGGGCGAAAGCCUGACCCAGCAACGCCGCGUGAAGGAUGAAAUCCCUCGGGAUGUAAACUUCGCAAGAACGGGAAGAAUAAGUGAGAGUUAAUAUCUUUCACGAUGACGGUACUGUUUGUAAGCUCCGGCUAACUCCGUGCCAGCAGCCGCGGUAAUACGGGGGAGCAAGCGUUGUUCGGAUUUACUGGGCGUAAAGGGCGCGUAGGCGGCCACCGCAAGUCGACUGUGAAAUCUCCGGGCUUAACCCGGAAAGGUCAGCCGAUACUGCGGGGCUAGAGUGCAGAAGGGGCAACUGGAAUUCUCGGUGUAGCGGUGAAAUGCGUAGAUAUCGAGAGGAACACCUGCGGCGAAGGCGGGUUGCUGGGCUGACACUGACGCUGAUGCGCGAAAGCUAGGGGAGCGAACGGGAUUAGAUACCCCGGUAGUCCUAGCCUUAAACGAUGAAUGCUUGGUGUCUGGGGUUUUAUAGUCCCCGGGUGCCGUCGCUAACGCUCUAAGCAUUCCGCCUGGGGAGUACGGUCGCAAGACUGAAACUCAAAGGAAUUGACGGGGACCCGCACAAGCGGUGGAGCAUGUGGUUUAAUUCGACGCAACGCGAAGAACCUUACCUGGGCUAGAAUGCCUCUGACCGGCGUAGAGAUACGCCUUCCUGGGUAAAACCAGGCAGAGUGCAAGGUGCUGCAUGGCUGUCGUCAGCUCGUGUCGUGGGAUGUUGGGUUAAGUCCCGCAACGAGCGCAACCCCUAUCUUUAGUUGCCAUCAUUUAGUUGGGCACUCUAGAGAGACUGCCCCGGUUAACGGGGAGGAAGGUGGGGAUGACGUCAAGUCCUCAUGGCCUUUAUGCCCAGGGCCACACACGUGCUACAAUGGGCGGUACAAAGGGAUGCAAACCCGCGAGGGGGAGCCAAUCCUUUAAAACCGUUCUAAGUUCGGAUUGGAGUCUGCAACUCGACUCCAUGAAGCUGGAAUCGCUAGUAAUCGCGGAUCAGAACGCCGCGGUGAAUACGUUCCCGGGCCUUGUACACACCGCCCGUCACACCACGAAAGUGAGUUAUACCAGAAGCCGGUGCGCUAACCGCAAGGAGGCAGCCGUUCAAGGUAUGGCCCAUGAUUGGGGUG